GGAUUCGAUUAGCCUGCGAGUCGAGAGGGUUCGGCCCUCGGCAGACUGCUCAGUAACACGUGGAUAAUCUGUCCUUAGGUGGAGCAUAAUCUCGGGAAACUGAGAAUAAUACUCCAUAGAUCUAGGAUGCUGGAAUGCACCUAGGUUGAAAGCUCCGGCGCCUAAGGGUGAGUCUGCGGACUAUCAGGCUGUAGUCAGGGUAAAGACCUGACUAACCUACGACGGAUACGGGUUGUGAGAGCAAUAACCCGGAGACGAUAUCUGAGACACGAUAUCGGGCCCUACGGGGCGCAGCAGGCGCGAAACCUUCACACUGUGCGAAAGCGCGAUGAGGGAAUCCCAAGUGCUUGCACGUAAGUGUAAGCUGUUUCUAUGUCUAAAAAGCAUAGAGAGUAAAGAGCUGGGUAAGACGGGUGCCAGCCCGCCGCGGUAAUACCUGCAGCUCAAGUGGUGACCACUAUUAUUGGGCCUAAAACGUCCGUAGCCGGUUUAGUAAAUGCCUGGGUAAAUCGAGCCGCUUAACGGUUCGAAUUCCGGGGUAGGACUGCUAAACUUGGGGACCGGGGAGAGGCUANAGGUACUUCCUUGGGGUAGGGGGUUGAAAAUCCUGGUAAUCCNUGGGGGGGACCCCCCAGUGGCNAAAGGNNGUCUAACUUAGAACCGGGUC
rnacentral:rRNA from 1 species